rnacentral:rRNA from 1 species
GACGAACGCUGGCGGCGUGCUUAACACAUGCAAGUCGAACGGGAAGGCCCUGCUUUUGUGGGGUGCUCGAGUGGCGAACGGGAGAGUAACGCGUGAGUAACCUGCCCUGGACUUUGGGAUAAGUUCAGGAAACUAGGGCUAAUACCUGAUAUGAGCUCCUGCUGCAUGGUAGGGGUAGGAAAGUUUCGGCGGUUGGGGAUGGACUCGCGGGUUAUCGGCUUGUUGGUGAGGUAGUGGCUUACCAAGGCUUGGACGGGUAGCCGGCCGGAGGGGGGGACCGGCCACAUGGGGACUGAGAUACGGCCGAGAGUCGUACGGGAGGCAGCAGUAGGGACGAUUGAAUAAUGCGCGGAAGCCGGAUGCAGCAACGCUGCGUUCUGGAUGAUAGACUUCGGUUAUAAAACAGCUAUCGCCUGUGACGAAACGUUAGUGACGGUAAUGUAUAAAUAAGCACCGGCUAACUCCGUG